rnacentral:lncRNA from 1 species
GGAAAUGGAUAGGGUGAGGGAGGGGGGGGGGAGAGCGAGAGAGAGUUUCUGUUUAUAUCGGGAAGAGGUUAGCGUUGAUAUUAUUGUUAGAAGAAUUAACCUAAAUUGCCGGCAAAUGUGUAAUAGCAUAUGUAUUAUAUGUUUAUAAAUUUGUAUGAUCAGUGUGUAAUCUAUGUAUACUGGGUAGAAAAAUCAAACACUAGUCCGGCAGGCUCCUUGGGCAAAGAUCCCUUUUUUUACUUCCUCUGUCCCAUUUUAUGUGAAGUGUUGACUUGGCAUAGACAUUGUGAUCUAAAACAAGCUAUAGACUUUCUCAUUACGCGUAAAAUGAGAAGCUUAAGACGGAGUUGUUUCUGAAUAUAAAAAUGUGUCAUUCUUCUUGCGACAUAUUAAAAAGGAAAUUAUGCAACAAAAAAGUGACAGAGGAAUGACUAAGAUAAUUUUUUAUCUUUUCUUGUGUGAGGUGUUAAUGUAUUUGAUGGUUUUUAUGUGUUUGUUUAAUUUUGUGUUAGAAAGAGUUUAUGUCUGUGCUUUAGAACUUUAAGGUUAAAGUCUGAUUACUCUUUUGUUCAUGUUUCAGCGUUGUGGCAAAGAGGGGGAAAUGCGCUUUUAAGGAGGGAGCUAAAUUAAUAAGUACAAUGGUUUUGCUUAAGGGUGAUAUUUAAUUUUAGUUCAUAGUUUACUAUAAAUUGGAAUAUGUGGUUUCAAUGGUUAGAAUCGAUGAGGAUUAAACCUUUGAGACCAUUUACGAUUCUCUACUUUCCAAAAGACAGUCAAAUAGAAACAACAAAAAGACCAUGAACACUAGACAUUUUAAAACCAUCUGAACUUUAAAAAGAAGAAGAAAAUAAGGAAAAAAGUACAUAGAUCUCCUUUUUUAUUUCUUUUGAAAAAUGGAAAAUUUCAUGUAUUAGACUAAAAGGAUGAAACUCAAUAACUAAAAUAAGAUUAUAACAAAACAUGGCAUGAAUAUCCACUUCAACCACAUCACACAAAUAAAUAAAUGUUAAAUUACUUAAUGAUAAGAAAAAAAGAAGAAGAUAUGAACCUUAGAAGGCUUUAUAAAAAAAAAUCAAUGAAUAUGAUUCUUUGCUUGGACAAGUAAUGUACAAAAUAAAACUCAGGUAAUCAAAAUCUUCCGAAUAAAAACUAACCACCACCGGAAUCACGAACGGAACCUCGAAUUUCGACCUUUUCUUCCUCAAAUCUCAUUUUCUUCCUGUUUCGUCUCAAUUUCGUUACUUUUUUCUUUUCAGUUUCGUUCUCCUAUUUUGUUCAAGAUGUGUUCCUUUUUCCCAGAGAAGAUCUUUUUUAUCUAGAUAUAGUUGUAUGUCAAUAUGGUAGUGGGUAGGUGGGGGUUUACGUGGGGAAGGAAGAAAGUUAUGUAACUGGUUGGGAAUAAUGGAGGAUAAUUAGUUACAUGAUUGAAUAAUAUAAACAUUAUAAUUGUCUAGUGAUGGAAUAAUGAUGAAAAUGAGGUAAAACAAAUGGCCUGAAGUGCAUGUGUGUGGAGUGCAUCGUGAGGGGUUGAGGGGAAG